ACACACACACCCACUCUCUUUCUCUGGGAGCCGUUUGGUGGGGAAGUCGUCCAUUUCUCUUCCAAAUACUGCCAGGGCAGUAAAAUGGGGGAAGGGUUGGAAAAGAGAAAAAAAAAAAAAAAAAGGUGGGGGGGAGAAUGCAGCUUAAUGAAUGAAACCCUCGUGAGUUACAGGAAUUUAAUGGCUAAGAGACAUUUAUGCAAGAUAGAGAGAUCAUGAAGGAAGGUUAUCAGGGAAAUAUAUGGCAGCAGACUUCCACUGUGGUUCACCAGAAAGUUGAGGAAAAACUGGAAAAGCAGCACUAAGGUGUAAUCUGCAAUUAAUUAAAAAAUGCUAUUAUUAAGGAUCUAUUUUAGGUCUUUAUUUAAUACAUGUGUUUACAGCCUACGCAAAUCAAACCCCCAAUCUGUUACUCACCAUAUGAGCUGUUUACCCUUUAUAUUUUAUAUGUAUAAAGUGAGACAUUAGUAAAAGCACAUGCAAUUAAUCGGCUCACUAAUAAUUAUUAAUGUGCAGCCUCAGUCUCGUCACAAGCGGUUGAAAAUGACUCGACACCACUUCACUCAUCGCCAAAACAAACCACCCGCUGAGUGAGGCCUGCGUUGGGUGUGUGUGUGUGUUUUCUUUUUUUUCCAAUCCAGUGAACACACAACCUAACAUACAAUAUUUACAGAAAUAAUUUACACACAACACAAAUAAGAAAUAAGAUUAAUUGUUUUUUUUUUCACACAUUUUCAUCUCUAUUAUUUCUGUUUCCAGCCUAAACACUGUGCAGGUGUUCAUGCAGUGGAAAUAAGAAACUGUUCCUCUUUUUUGUAUGUAAUGUGUAUUGAUGCUUUUUUUAAAAUUUUAUUUAGUGUUGAAGCGUUGUUUCAAAAAUUAUAGACACUGGUUUAGAAACCACACUCCUAUUUAUAUAGCACAUGUCUCACUUAAAUUCCUGGCAGAGACUUGGAGGGAACAGACGAGUUUGUGGUUUUGGAAGAUGACAAUGAUACGAAAAACUUGAGCAGAUGACUCACAAAUUCUCAGCCUCUGUUAUUUAUUGAAAAUGUUGGCUUUUAUAUUUUUCCCCCUGAUGAAACUGAAAAGUGCUUCUUGGCUUUUAACGCUGCUUUAUUGUAGUUUUUCAUACGACACAUCACGUGUUUACCUGUGAAAUACAUCAGCUGACACAAACUUCUGCUCACUUGGAUUGAAUAUCAGAAUGCUUUUUAUUUGUAAGAGACGACCAAGGUGUGAAUCAUCGAUAUAUAUAUACAUUAAUGUGUUGUGAUAUGUCAGCAGUGUCGACUACAAACACACUCAGAAAAGAAACAGUAGAAAUAAAAGCAGACUUCACCAGACAGGCAGGAAUUAUACAGGGAAUGUGGCUCCACUAACUACCUUGUUUGUUUAUUUUUAUUUUUUGGUGUUACAGGCGCUCUACUUUCUUUCUACUUCAUGAGGAAGCACAGGCGUCUUCUGCCCUUUUUCUGCAUCCACAUUUGUAUCUUCACCCACCACCGAACAAAGUAAGUUUUCCCUUGUCAUACCUCAUUGGUCUUGGUCUCUCCGUUCUGGGCGGGGCCGUCAUCCUUCUUCCCCUUGGGGCCGGCCUUCUUCGCCUUCAUCCCCUUAUCAUCUGCCACCUUCUGCAUGGAAGAAAUGACAAGAACGUGCAUAGAGACAUACAUGAUGGCAGGUAUCAUCAUAUAUGUGGAAAUAUUUCCAGCACAACCUCAAAA